rnacentral:miRNA from 1 species
CCAGGCUCUUUCCUCUACGCUCCUAGGAGCAUAGAGGAAAGAGCCUGGGA